UUCCACCGGAGCUUGCUCCACCGGAAAUAGAGGAGUGGCGAACGGGUGAGUAACACGUGGGUAACCUGCCCAUCAGAAGGGGAUAACACUUGGAAACAGGUGCUAAUACCGUAUAACAAUCGAAACCGCAUGGUUUUGAUUUGAAAGGCGCUUUCGGGUGUCGCUGAUGGAUGGACCCGCGGUGCAUUAGCUAGUUGGUGAGGUAACGGCUCACCAANNCGACGAUGCAUAGCCGACCUGAGAGGGUGAUCGGCCACAUUGGGACUGAGACACGGCCCAAACUCCUACGGGAGNCAGCAGUAGGGAAUCUUCGGCAAUGGACGAAAGUCUGACCGAGCAACGCCGCGUGAGUGAAGAAGGUUUUCGGAUCGUAAAACUCUGUUGUUAGAGAAGAACAAGGAUGAGAGUAACUGUUCAUCCCUUGACGGUAUCUAACCAGAAAGCCACGGCUAACUACGUGCCAGCAGCCGCGGUAAUACGUAGGUGGCAAGCGUUGUCCGGAUUUAUUGGGCGUAAAGCGAGCGCAGGCGGUUUCUUAAGUCUGAUGUGAAAGCUCGG
rnacentral:rRNA from 1 species